UAAAAAAUUUUAUUGUGAGAUAGGGUCUCUGACUAAGUUUCUCAAGUUGACCUUGAACUUGCAUUCAUCUACUUCAGUUUCCUGAGUAGCUGGGAUUACAGGCAUAUAUCACUAUAUGUAGCUGCCAAUGUGUUUUCUUCUAAGUUUUAUAGUUUGUAUUUUGAGUUUGUGUGUGCGUGUGUGUGUGUAUAUAAUCUGAAUGUUGAACCCAGGCACUUUGACAAGCUAGGCAAGCACUCUCUCAUUGAGCUACAUCCCCAGUCCUGAGUUAAUUUCUAUCUGUGAGUAAGUAAAGGGUCCAACUUCAUUGUUUGUGUGUGGAAAUCCAAUGUUUCCAGCAUCAUCUAUUGAAAAGAUACAUCAGGUCUUUGAAAACACUGCCAGCUGCCUUUUCCCAGGAGACGCUAAUAGGACCAUUUACCUCCCCUACCUAGGGCCUCCAGAUGUUGAUCUUUAAUUUGGACCCACCCACUGCUUUACAUCCCUUUAUGGUACAACCCCACUCAAUACUUUUGGGGCCACAACCCUCCCUUACACUGCCCCAACCUGCCUGUCCCACCUUAUCCAUGAGAAGUCUGCAGAGAGGAAGCACCCCUAUUUCAGCCCCCUGCCCCCCUGCCCUACCCCCUGUACAUGUGUAACCAUGGGCCUUCCCUGAUGUACACAUCUGGACCUCCUGUUCCUCCUGCCCCUGCAGGCCAGCCUCUCCUCUUGAACUCUCUCCUAUGCACUUAGGCAACCUGUUCCCCUGUCUCAGGCCCUGGCUUACAUGCCUGCCCCUCUCCAUUUCCCCUUUCUCCAUCCCUCACUUCCCCUCUCCUUCCUCUUUACUUUCCUCUCUGCAUUGUAUUGGGAACCUUUCUUCUGUCCCUUUGUCUGUAUGUGUCUGCUACCUCCUCAGGUGCUCAGGACAGCAGAGCCUUUGUGGUGAGCAUUGAUGAGCAGUAGUUUCCAGGAAGAAGUGUCAUGUAUUGCUUCCUCUUCCACAGGGACCCAAUCUCCACUAUAACCUCACAGUAAGGUCCCAAGGUGGAUCAGUGCAAUCUUCUGCUGAUGGUUAUUGGGACCAUCAGCUCUUACUUUACUAUGAUAGUGACUCUAAAGAAAGCCCUAAACCCCAGGGGCCUUGGGCAGAAAAUCCCUUGGGAACUGAGAGAUGGAACACAGAGAUCCAGGAGUUGAAAGAGCACAUCAAGAAAGCAAAAUCAACCCUGGCAGAAAUCAUUGCCCAGCAGGAGCAGAAAGGAGGGUCUAAUUCCCUUCAGGAGAUUUGGGCUGCAAUAUUGAAGAGGACAACCACACCAGGGGCUUCUGGAUGAUCUACAGUGAUGGGGAGCCAUUCCUCUCCUAUCACCUAGAGAUGCACAGCUUGAGAAUAGAGCCAUCCUCAGCUCAGACCUUGGCUAUGGAAGUCAAGAAUUCCUGGGAUGCAGAUGACAUGCAAACAAGAAUAUCUGGACCCAAGUGGAGGGAGGGCUUUGUGGAAAACUUUGGACUUAUCAAGUCUCCUGGAAGGGCUCCUCCCUCUCCCCUGGAGCCUCUGCCCAGGGGAUCUUGUUGUCGCCAACAGUGAAUGUGACCUGUGGUGAAACCUCUGAGGACACCAUCAAUGUGACAUGUUGGGCUUGUGGCUUCUAUCUCCAGAAUAUCUCUGUGAUCUGGCUUCAAGAUGGGGAACUCCUGAGCCAGGACACGCAGGACUCUGUGGAUGUUUUUCCCUAUGGGAAUGGAACUGACCAGACCUGGAUGUCCACCAGGAUUCCCCAAGGAUAGGAGCAGAGAUUCAGCUGCUAUGUGGAACACAUUGGGAAGAACACCACUGUCCCUGU